rnacentral:rRNA from 1 species
AACGAACGCUGGCGGCAUGCCUAACACAUGCAAGUCGAACGAGACCUUCGGGUUUGGUGGCGCACGGGGGCGUAACGCGUGGGAACCUGCCCUUAGGUUCGGAAUAACUCUCCGAGAGAGGUUUUAAUACCGGGUAAUGUCAUCGGACCAAAGAUUUUUGGCCUUUGGAUGGGCCCGCGUUGGAUUGGCUAGGUGGUAGGGUAAAAGCGUACCACGGGUAUGAUCCAUAGCUGGUCUGCGAGGAUGAUCAGGCACACUGGGACUGUGACACGGCCCAGACUCCUGCGGCAGGGAGCAGUAUUGAAUAUUGGGCGAUGGGCGGAAGCCUGGUCCCGCCGUGCCGCGUGAGUGAUGACGGGCUUUGGAUUGUAAAGCCCUUUUACCCGGGAUGAUAAUGACAGUACCGGGAGAAGAAGCUCCGGCUAACUACGUG